rnacentral:rRNA from 1 species
CCAAUAGCGUAUAUUAAAGUUGUUGCAGUUAAAAAGCUCGUAGUUGAAUUUCGGGAUUGGCGCAUCGGUCGUGCCUCACGGGGUAUGAACUGGUGCAGUCAAUUUCUCACCUUCUGGAGAACCGCGAUGUCCUUAAUUGGAUGCCGCGGGGAACCAGGACCUUUACUUUGAAAAAAUUAGAGUGUUUAAAGCAGGCAUUUUUGCUUGAAUACAUUAGCAUGGAAUAAUAAAAUAGGACGGCAUGGUUCUAUUUUGUUGGUUUCUAGGACCACCGUAAUGAUUAAUAGGGAUAGUUGGGGGCAUUAGUAUUCAAUUGUCAGAGGUGAAAUUCUUGGAUUUAUUGAAGACUAACUGCUGCGAAAGCAUUUGCCAAGGAUGUUUUCAUUAAUCAAGAACGAAAGUUAGGGGAUCGAAGACGAUCAGAUACCGUCGUAGUCUUAACCAUAAACUAUGCCGACUAGGAAUCAGACGAUGUUAAUUUUUUAAUGACUCGUUUGGCACCUUACG